UACGUAGGGUGCAAGCGUUGUCCGGAAUUAUUGGGCGUAAAGAGCGUGUAGGCGGCUUGAUUAGUCUGCUGUGAAAGUCCAGGGCUCAACCCUGGAAUGCCGGUGGAUACUGUCAAGCUAGAGUCCGGAAGGGGCGAGUGGAAUUCCUGGUGUAGCGGUGAAAUGCGCAGAUAUCAGGAGGAACACCAAUAGCGAAGGCAGCUCGCUGGGACGUUACUGACACUGAGGCGCGAAAGCGUGGGGAGCGAACAGG
rnacentral:rRNA from 1 species